UGGGGAAUCUUGCACAAUGGGCGAAAGCCUGAUGCAGCAACGCCGCGUGCGGGAAGAAGGCCCUAGGGUUGUAAACCGCUUUCAGUAGGGAAGAAAAUGACGGUACCUACAGAAGAAGGUGCGGCCAACUACGUGCCAGCAGCCGCGGUGACACGUAGGCACCAAGCGUUAUCCGGAUUUAUUGGGCGUAAAGAGCUCGUAGGCGGUUCGGUAAGUCGGGUGUGAAAACUCUGGGCUCAACCCAGAGAGGCCACUCGAUACUGCUGUGACUAGAGUGCGGUAGGGGAGCGGGGAAUUCAUGGUGUAGCGGUGAAAUGCGCAGAUAUCAUGAGGAACACCAGCGGCGAAGGCGCCGCUCUGGGCCGUAACUGACGCUGAGGAGCGAAAGCAUGGGUAGCAAACAGGAUUAGAUACCCUGGUAGUCCAUGCCGUAAACGUUGGGCACUAGGUGUGGGUCUCAACCAACGAGAUCCGCACCGUCGCUAACGCAUUAAGUGCCCCGCCUGGGGAGUACGGUCGCAAGACUA
rnacentral:rRNA from 1 species